GGACUGUAGGCUGCAACUCGCCUACACGAAGUCGGAAUCGCUAGUAAUCGCGGAUCAGCAUGCCGCGGUGAAUACGUUCCCGGGCCUUGUACACACCGCCGUCACACCAUGGGAGUUUGUAACGCCCAAAGUCGGUGGCCUAACCUUUAUGGAGGGAGCCGCCUAAGGCGGGACAGAUGACUGGGGUGAAGUCGUAACAAGGUAUC
rnacentral:rRNA from 1 species